GCCCAACUUUGUCUUCCAUCAUGAGCUCACAAGAAGUCACUUUUGGAAAACUCCUGUCAUAUCUCUAAGUGCCGACAGCCAAGCUGUUUCCUUAUUUUUCAGUUUAGUCUACUUAAGAGCACCAAUAGAAAGUUCUCAUCAAUUUCUAACACUAAUCAGUAUGGUGAGUUGGCCAGUGGUAUACACGGCUGUCCGGCAUCAAGAUCUAUAAAGAUGUUGAUACUGAGGCACCUGCAAUUGAAACAUACGUCUCAUUAAUAAGAGCAGCCAACUGAGCCAGCCUGAAAUAGACUCCAACCCUGCAGACCGUUCUGUGAACACGAUUCACCUGUCUCAUAAAAAUCUGUGCUGUGUCUGCCUAGAUUUCAACCAGCCAUCCAAGACUGAUCCUCCUGCAAAUCAGGAACAUUCAUGCAGAAACUACUUUUGUACUUGCCUCCUUUUCUAAACAAAACCAUUGGAAGAGACGGUGAUUCAAAACGUCCUUGAGGCCAGAAGAAAGACACUCAAGGACCUGGCCCCGGUGCCACUGUGAUGCCACUGUGAUGCCGCUGUGAUGGAUGAAUAUGUAAUGGAGAGAUGGGAAGGAUGGAGUACACUGUGGAGAGAUGGACGAGAAUGCAAAGCCUAGGGGUUCAUAUGCUGCUUAGAAAGGUGGAACUAGAGACCCCAGAGUAGUGAGGAACAGGCAGAUAUGAGGAGGGCAUGGUGAAUUCCUGGCCUGGACUGCUGCCAACGGCUAUGUUUGGGUCCAAGGUUCCUCUCCAGCUGGGGUCUGUGUCAAUUUCUGUGGGCCAAGUUACCAAAAAAAGUCAUACAGAUGUCCCUGGUCCGGACUGCUG
rnacentral:lncRNA from 1 species